UUCUAGCAAGAAGCAGCAAAGUCCACCUGGGAGUUGCAGAAAGAGGCGUGGGGGUCGAGGCAGCCCAGCUAGGAUCCACACGAUGGGCCCCCGCAGGCGUUCAAGGAAGAACUGAUCCACGGUGGUGCUUCCGGGGGACAGGGAUCUGAAGCAAGGAACGACUGCCCUCCCCUGGCAAAGCAUCCACAGAGUGAAUCAUCCCUUAGGCGCAGGAGAGCUCACGGCCUCACAGAACAGAAGAUUGCUGUUGCUGGGAAACAAGUCACAUAAUGACUUUAUGAGAUAGGCAUUAUUUUCUCCAUUUAGAAGACAUGAAAAGAAGCUCAGAGUUUAAGAAAUCCAGAAGUCACAUGGUGAAAAGCUGCCAUGAGUCAAAUGGCUUUCCCCUGCCACAUACUUCCACCAUGAUGUUCUGCCUCACCCCAGGUCCAGAGCAAUAGAGUCCACCAACCAUGAACUGAGACCUCUGAAACAGAAACAAAAUAAAGU